GAUGAACGCUGGCGGCGUGCCUAAUACAUGCAAGUCGAGCGAACGGACGAGAAGCUUGCUUUUCUGAUGUUAGCGGCGGACGGGUGAGUAACACGUGGAUAACCUACCUAUAAGACUGGGAUAACUUCGGGAAACCGGAGCUAAUACCGGAUAAUAUUUUGAACCGCAUGGUUCAAAAGUGAAAGACGAUCUUGCUGUCACUUAUAGAUGGAUCCGCGCUGCAUUAGCUAGUUGGUAAGGUAACGGCUUACCAAGGCAACGAUGCAUAGCCGACCUGAGAGGGUGAUGGGCCCCACGGGAACUAGAACCCGUCCCAGACUCCUCCGGGGGGCAACAGUAGGGACUCUUCCGCAAGGGGCGAAAGCCUGACGGAGCAACGCCGGGGGGGUGAGAAAGGUCUUCGGAUCGUAAACCUCUGUUAUUGGGAAAAAAAAUAUGUGUAAGUAACUGUGCACAUCUUGACGGUACCUAAUCAGAAAGCCACGGCAAACUACGUG
rnacentral:rRNA from 1 species